GAGGGUGUAGCUCAGUGGUGGCAGAGUGCCUGCUUAGCAUGCACAAGGUCCAGGGUUCCAUCCCCAGUACCUCCA
rnacentral:tRNA from 1 species